UGGUUGCCCUUAAUAACCACAACAAUAACAAUACCGUAAAGAAAUUCGGUAACAACCUUGUUUUUAUAGUCUUGUGUAAAUUAUUUCAUAUUUUAUAAACUUUUUUGAGCAGCUGCCACUGCAGGACUGCUUGAUGACAUUAUUAGUAUGGGUGUAGUUACAUACAAUACCCAUGUCUUAUGGGACAUGCAAGUUUCUGGAAAAAAUUAGAGAACCUCAAUAAAAAGUACAAAAUAAUAAAUAUAAACAAGAGGAGCAAGCGGCAGUUGCUGAUAUUGCAACCAGCAGAUCAUUGACCUUGAACUUCAUUCUUUUAUAUCUUUCUCAUCCUUUCACCAGAAGAAUUACAGAUAUCAGCAGUGAUAUAAAAGCUGUUGUAAGUGGCAGAAGUAGUGGAGAUAUAUAACUUCAGCAGUGUGGGUGGCGUGCAGAGGCAGUCAUUCCCAAAGCUUUGAAGUUGGUCAGUCUUUUAGCCUAAAGCAGAAGCAUAAGGCAUCAUUCCCUUCUGACAUUUUUUCUUCUGAUGUUCACAUAAAU